rnacentral:misc_RNA from 1 species
AUACAAUCAGAAUGAUACAUGUGUUUGCAAGGCAACAUUUUAACUUGCAUGUCGAGUAAAAACUGGUCUUUGCAGACCGCACAAAGAAUAACCGGAUCAUUCUCAAGCAUGGAAGAGGUAAUUUGAAGUAGUUCAAGUGCCGCCACAGCUGAUCUGGACGCGGAAUUGUUGUGAAGAUUGGGGGUAGGAGCGUCAUUAGUGGUGGUGAGAUGGCGAAUUAGACGGUGGAGAUAAGGACUAUUGAGGAGGAAGUUGUCGUCAGAGGGAGUAAAAGUGGUGGGGGUUUCAAUGUCAGAGGUAGGGUUAGGGUGAUUCGGAAAUUGGGGAAGAAUGGUAGGGGUAAAAGAGUCCAUAUGUUCGAGGAAAUCGGAAUGGCAGUGAGGGCAGCGAGGAUUAUUCGGGGGUGGGUGAAGGAGGAAGACGCUCAUGUCGCAUUCGUGGCACCAAAAAGUGUGGUGACGCUGCGGCGGAGUUGCGAUGGUGGUGGACAUUUGGUGUAAGUGGGAAAAGGUAUGGAAUAUUAUUGUGAUGUGUAAAGAGAAAAGCGAUGUGUGUGUUUUUUAUCGCAAGAGGAAGAAACGGUACGGGAAGGAGGAAGAAGAAGAA